rnacentral:rRNA from 1 species
UGCCUACGGGGGGCAGCAGUGGGGAAUAUUGGACAAUGGGGGGAACCCUGAUCCAGCGACGCCGCGUGAGUGAAGAAGUAUUUCGGUAUGUAAAGCUCUAUCAGCAGGGAAGAAAAUGACGGUACCUGACUAAGAAGCCCCGGCUAACUACGUGCCAGCAGCCGCGGUAAUACGUAGGGGGCGAGCGUUAUCCGGAUUUACUGGGUGUAAAGGGAGCGUAGACGGUGCAGCAAGUCUGAUGCGAAAGGU